CGGUGAAUAGCGCAGUUUGGUAGCGCAUCUCAGGCUCUGAGAAUAGCGGACCAGAGGGGCGGGGGCUGGAAGCCCAGCCGCGCCGAAUCCCUGUUCACCGGCCA
rnacentral:tRNA from 1 species